GCCUGCGCGUUCGGGGGCACCGGCACAGCACCUCACGGACUGCGGAGCCCUUGCGCUCCGAGAGUCACUCUGUUGAUGUUUAAAUCUCCACGUGCUCCGAAGUAUGUGCAACACAGGGUGUAAAACCGCACCCUCCCCAGCCCCUCCAUCUGGAGAAGAAGGUGCCAGGAUGCCUAAAUAGCAGCAAACGGUCUGCAGCAGCUCUGUCCGUCACACGGCCCAGCGCUGCCUCAGCUGCCAUGGGAAUGUGAGGAGGCACCGCCAGGAAGGACUGCCAGGAGCUGAGGAUGGACUCCUGCAUUCAGCCUGCAAGAUACUGCUAGGUGUAGCUGCCCGUCAGAGCAACGCAAGGGGGACCUGAAUUUGAAAGUGUUCGAUUUAAAUUAGCUUUAAAGGGAAAAUCUGCACCCAGGGAGGUGCUGCCCAAGGAGGGAAGAAGACCUCUAGCAACAGUAAUGCAGCUGUAUUGUAGAGGAUAAUGCUGAGCAAACAGCGAACCCAGCAUUGCUGUCCACAAUGAGGACCUGAGAGCCCACUAGGGUCCAUGUCCCCCUCCCCAGACACAUUCCUCCUCCUGCAUUCUUCAAUAGACGACACAGGCCUGGAACAUUACACCCUAUAACCCAUAUUUUAGACCAACCUGGAGCGUUUCCUUGAAGAGAAGCAAGAAGUUUUGGCAUGUUCUCUGGUCUUAACAGCUUCCCCUACACCCUUCACGUAGAUUCCUUCAAUAAAACCAGCAGUGCUAUUGCUAAAGCCAAA